AUGGCGUCGAGCGACAACGACGACCAGGGCUACAGCGAUUUCGACGAGGAGGAGGACCCGAUCGAGCUCGAGUCGGACGACGACAUGGCGACGCUGCUGGCCGCGAGGAGGCAGAAGUACAAGGUCCUCACCGAGGACGCCGUGCGCGCGCUCCAGGACGACUGCAUCGCCGGGGUCGCCGACCUCAUCCAGGUCCCGCCGGCGAUCGCGGCCAUCGUCCUGCGCCACUGCCACUGGAGCUCCCUCGUGGUCCAGGACAAGUGGUUCUCCGACGAGCAGGGCCUCCGCGCCGCCGUCGGCCUGCUGCCGCCCAGCGACGGCGACGCCGUGGCAGAGCCCAAGCGCAAGCGCAAGGGUAAGAAGCUCACCUGCGACCUCUGCUUCGACAAUCACGCUCCAAGCCAGAUGAAGUCGGCGGGGUGCGGCCACCUGUACUGCCGCGUUUUCUGGCGCGGGUACAUACGCGCGGCGGUGGAGGACGGCGCCCGGUGCCUGUCGCUGCGGUGCCCGGACCCGUCCUGCUCGGCGGCCGUGAUCCGGGACCUGGUGGACGACGUCGCCGACGAGGAGGACAAGCAGCGGUACGCGGGGUUCGCGCUCCGGUCGUACGUGGAGGAGAGCAAGACCAUGAGGUGGUGCCCCGCUCCCGGGUGCGGCCUCGCCAUGGAGUACCUCGGCGGGGAAAGCCUGAGCGAGCAGCUGGACGUGGUGUGCGACUGCGGCCACGGCUUCUGCAUCGUGUGCGCGGAGGAGUCGCACCGGCCGGUGCCGUGCCGCACGGUGCGCGAGUGGGCGGCCAAGAACAGCUCCGAGUCGGAGAGCACCAACUGGGUGAUAGCCAACACGAAGCUCUGCCCCAAGUGCCGGCGCCCCAUCGAGAAGAACACGGGCUGCAACCACAUGACCUGCCGGGACCCCUGCCGCCACCAGUUCUGCUGGAUCUGCCUCGCCGACUACCACGGCGGCCACACCUGCAACCGCUACGAGGUCGACGAGAUCGACGCCCGGCAGGCCUACGCCAGGGCCUCCCUUGACAGGUACAUCCAUUACUACGAGCGCUGGGUGGCGCAUGAACACUCACGCCAGAGGGCCAGCGAGGACAUGUUCGAGCUGGAGAGCGCCCGCGAGGUCUACCUCGAGGGCGCCGCCGCCGACGAGGCGCAGAGGCAGCUCGGGUUCCUCAUCGACGCCUACAGGCAGAUCCUGGAGGGGCGACGGAUGCUGAGGUGGACCUACGCAUACGGCUACUUCGCCGACAGGGACAAGCUCAACCUCCUCGAGUGCCUCCAGGGCGAGGCCGAGGGCUCGCUGGAGCGCCUCCACGAGAUGGCCGAGGCGGAGCGCACCGCCAGCGAAAACUACUACGCUGCCGACGGCGGCGUCUCGUCCUACUUCGACAGGCUAGCAAAGCUCACCAAACAGACCCACGAUUACUUUGAGAGCAUGGCUGAAGCUUUCCAAACCGAUCUCGACUAG
rnacentral:rRNA from 1 species